rnacentral:rRNA from 1 species
UACGUAGGGUGCAAGCGUUAAUCGGAAUUACUGGGCGUAAAGCGUGCGCAGGCGGUUAUGUAAGACAGAUGUGAAAUGCCCGGGCUUAACCUGGGAACUGCAUUUGUGACUGCAUGGCUAGAGUUUGGCAGAGGGGGGUAGAAUUCCACGUGUAGCAGUGAAAUGCGUAGAUAUGUGGAGGAACACCGAUGGCGAAGGCAGCCCCCUGGGUCAAGACUGACGCUCAGGCACGAAAGCGUGGGGAGCAAACGAG